AUCUUCCGCAAUGGACGAAAGUCUGACGGAGCAACGCCGCGUGAGUGAUGAAGGCUUUCGGGUCGCAAAACUCUGUUGUUAGGGAAGAACAAGUACGAGAGUAACUGCUCGUACCUUGACGGUACCUAACCAGAAAGCCACGGCUAACUACGUGCCAGCAGCCGCGGUAAUACGUAGGUGGCAAGCGUUAUCCGGAAUUAUUGGGCGUAAAGCGCGCGCAGGCGGUUUCUUAAGUCUGAUGUGAAAGCCCACGGCUCAACCGUGGAGGGUCAUUGGAAACUGGGGAACUUGAGUGCAGAAGAGAAAAGCGGAAUUCCACGUGUAGCGGUGAAAUGCGUAGAGAUGUGGAGGAACACCAGUGGCGAAGGCGGCUUUUUGGUCUGUAACUGACGCUGAGGCGCGAAAGCGUGGGGAGCAAACAGG
rnacentral:rRNA from 1 species